rnacentral:rRNA from 1 species
UACGUAGGGUGCAAGCGUUGUCCGGAAUUAUUGGGCGUAAAGAGCUCGUAGGCGGUCUGUCGCGUCUGCUGUGAAAACUCGGGGCUUAACCUCGGGCCUGCAGUGGGUACGGGCAGACUAGAGUGCGGUAGGGGAGACUGGAAUUCCUGGUGUAGCGGUGAAAUGCGCAGAUAUCAGGAGGAACACCGGUGGCGAAGGCGGGUCUCUGGGCCGUAACUGACGCUGAGGAGCGAAAGCGUGGGGAGCGAACAGG